UGCAAGUAGAACGCUGAAGGAGGAGCUUGCUUCUCUGGAUGAGUUGCGAACGGGUGAGUAACGCGUAGGUAACCUGCCUGGUAGCGGGGGAUAACUAUUGGAAACGAUAGCUAAUACCGCAUAAUAGUAGAUGUUGCAUGACAUUUGCUUAAAAGGUGCAAUUGCAUCACUACCAGAUGGACCUGCGUUGUAUUAGCUAGUUGGUGGGGUAACGGCUCACCAAGGCGACGAUACAUAGCCGACCUGAGAGGGUGAUCGGCCACACUGGGACUGAGACACGGCCCAGACUCCGACGGGAGGCAGCAGUAGGGAAUCUUCGGCAAUGGACGGAAGUCUGACCGAGCAACGCCGCGUGAGUGAAGAAGGUUUUCGGAUCGUAAAGCUCUGUUGUAAGAGAAGAACGAGUGUGAGAGUGGAAAGUUCACACUGUGACGGUAUCUUACCAGAAAGGGACGGCUAACUACGUGCCAGCAGCCGCGGUAAUACGUAGGUCCCGAGCGUUGUCCGGAUUUAUUGGGCGUAAAGCGAGCGCAGGCGGUUAGAUAAGUCUGAAGUUAAAGGCUGUGGCUUAACCAUAGUACGCUUUGGAAACUGUUUAACUUGAGUGCAAGAGGGGAGAGUGGAAUUCCAUGUGUAGCGGUGAAAUGCGUAGAUAUAUGGAGGAACACCGGUGGCGAAAGCGGCUCUCUGGCUUGUAACUGACGCUGAGGCUCGAAAGCGUGGGGAGCAAACAGGAUUAGAUACCCUGGUAGUCCACGCCGUAAACGAUGAGUGCUAGGUGUUAGACCCUUUCCGGGGUUUAGUGCCGCAGCUAACGCAUUAAGCACUCCGCCUGGGGAGUACGACCGCAAGGUUGAAACUCAAAGGAAUUGACGGGGGCCCGCACAA
rnacentral:rRNA from 1 species